AGAUUCCCAGAGUGUUUUGAAGCAAAGCUUCAAGCUGAGCACCACCAUUGAAAGGUCAUCCAUACGAUCCUGCUUUCGGAUUUGUGAUGAGAGUGGCUCAAAAUGCCACAUGGAGCCUCAUUAAUCAGAGAAAAGCCAAUGCCGCUGUUGGAGGUGAUUGCAGCUGAAAUCCUUGUUAAAACAUGGGGACUACACAACCAACAAGUUUCCGAAGGAAUGCAUACCUGCCAAGUUGUAGGUUUCGGCGUAAUUUGUACAAAUAAUCAUGGACUUUAACUGCCAACAAUAAUCAUGGACUUUUACCUGUCAACCAGCAAGGCUCAUGACCUAUUUUACAAGAAGAGUUAAUCACCAAACAGACACACCUCCUUAUAUGUACAGCAUAUAAGCAACGCCGAGCUCUCUGUUCAGUGUGCAUUUCUCUACACAGCCUUUGUUCUGUCAUU